AAGCAAUUGUUCGGUCAUUGAAAGUCUUUGAUAACAACAUAUUAUUCAAAAAAUAUUAAUUCAUUAUCUUUUUUAAAUUUAUUAAAAAAAACAAAAAAAAAUACAACAGCAUAGACUCGGCCAUCCAUUGGCCGAGUUCAAGCAUGAGAAUAUUAUGACGUGUCUACUCGUCCAAUCAAAGGGCGAGUUCGUGCAGUCAAACGCACAGCUUCAGUCACUCGUCG
rnacentral:lncRNA from 1 species